rnacentral:tRNA from 1 species
UGAAACUAGCUCAAUGGUAGAGCAGCGAACUGUAAAUUCGUGUGUCACGGGUUCGACUCCCGUGUUUCAGCCA